GCCUGGGUGGCUCAGUUGGUUGAGUGUCUGACUUCAGCUCAGGUCAUGAUCUCACAGUUCGUGAGUUCAAGACCCGUGUCGGGCU
rnacentral:tRNA from 1 species